CGCGUGGGAAUCUACCUAGUAGUUGGGGACAACCUGGUGAAAACCAGGCUAAUACCGAAUACGCCUACGGGGAAGGAUAGCUCUUCUUGAAAGCUUUCGCUAUUAGAUGAGCCCGCGUUGGAUUAGCUAGUUGGCGGGGUAAAGGCCCACCAAGGCGACGAUCCAUAGCUGGUCUGAGAGGAUGAUCAGCCACACUGGGACUGAGACACGGCCCAGACUCCUACGGGAGGCAGCAGUGGGGAAUAUUGCACAAUGGGGGAAACCCUGAUGCAGCCAUGCCGCGUGUGUGAAGAAGGCCUC
rnacentral:rRNA from 1 species